rnacentral:lncRNA from 12 species
GCCCGAGAGAGGGGCCCCGGGGAGCCCCUCGGCCCGGUGGGCCCUGCUCUGCCCCUGGAGCUGGUUUUCAAGUGUCCAUCAGGGACAGUUCAACAUGGAAUAAUUUCUCUUGUCCCGCUCUUUUCUUCUCUUUCAUACUGCCUCCUUUCCUGUUGGUAGAGAGAGCAUGCCAUUUUUCUUCUGGAAAUGUAUCUCUGAGGUAUUUGCAGCAAAUAAGUUUCUGCAAAAGCUGCAGAAAUUGGGAGGAGGGUCCCUUUACCUUGUUCUUUUAUGUCUUCAAAUGUCACUUUUCUUCUCAGGGAGGCUAACCCUAUUAAAAGAUAUCACUCCUUUACCCCCACAUUCCCCACUGUGGUUCCUUGCUUUACAAAUACCUUCUAACUUUGUGUCUUUUACUUGUUUUUCUUUCUCAGCACUCCUCCCACCCUGCAGAAACAUAGCUCCAUUGAGGAUCAGCAUGUCUCUAUUGUGUAUCUUGUGCAUGACUGUAUCCCAACUCAGAAAAGUUCCUGGCACAUAGUAGGUGCUCAGUAUGUAUUUGCUGGAUGAAUAAAUGAAUCCUGGCCCAUGAUUCAGGAGGUGGCAUGGAAACUUUCUGGUGUUGGGAUAGCAGAACUUCCCGUCCCCCUAGUCCAGGCAGAGGCUUUCUGGCUUCGGGUACCUGGGGCUGCAGAGUCAUUCACUGUUACCCAAGAAACCACAUUUCCCACACCUGGCCUUCAGAAGAGGUGGGAAGGAGCCAUCACCCUCUCCCCGACCUCACUGCCAGAUCAAUAUUCCACUCCCUUCCAGACCUAUGUCAGCAUCACCGAGAACAACAGCAAUCGUGGUGCCCAAUGGGUGUCCACCGUGUGCGGGGCUCCUGCAAUCUUCACAACAGUGCUGUGGUUAGCAUUGUUUCCCACUUCACAGGUAAGGAAAUUGAGAUCCAGAGAUUUUUUUUCAUCACUGAACUAAGACCUCCUGAUUGUCCCCUCUGUCCUCAGUUUCCUUUCAAGAAAAUACUGCCAGAAGGAGAACAGGACACAGACUCCUUUCUGUCUACCCUCUCCACUUUCAUUCUUCUUGCUUUCCCCUUCAAAAAUAAGCAUCAUGUACCUACUGGAUGUCAGAAACAGUCCCAAGCUGUGGGGAUUCAAAGAGGAGUAAGAAAGACUGCCUCUGGCCUUAAGGAGCACAUCCUUUAG